rnacentral:rRNA from 1 species
CACUAUCGUUAACUGAAUACAUAGGUUAACGAGGCGAACCGGGGGAACUGAAACAUCUAAGUACCCCGAGGAAAAGAAAUCAACCGAGAUUCCCCCAGUAGCGGCGAGCGAACGGGGAGCAGCCCAGAGUCUGAAUCAGCUUGUGUGUUAGUGGAACGGUCUGGAAAGUCCGACGGUACAGGGUGAUAGUCCCGUACACCAAAAUGCACAGGCUGUGAACUCGAAGAGUAGGGCGGGACACGUGGUAUCCUGUCUGAAUAUGGGGGGACCAUCCUCCAAGGCUAAAUACUCCUGACUGACCGAUAGUGAACCAGUACCGUGAGGGAAAGGCGAAAAGAACCCCGGCGAGGGGAGUGAAAAAGAACCUGAAACCGUGUACGUACAAGCAGUGGGAGCACCUUCGGGUGUGACUGCGUACCUUUUGUAUAAUGGGUCAGCGACUUAUAUUCUGUAGCAAGGUUAACCGUAUAGGGGAGCCGCAGGGAAACCGAGUCUUAACUGGGCGUUAAGUUGCAGGGUAUAGACCCGAAACCCGGUGAUCUAGCCAUGGGCAGGUUGAAGGUUGGGUAACACUAACUGGAGGACCGAACCGACUAAUGUUGAAAAAUUAGCGGAUGACUUGUGGCUGGGGGUGAAAGGCCAAUCAAACCGGGAGAUAGCUGGUUCUCCCCGAAAGCUAUUUAGGUAGCGCCUCGUGAACUCAUCUUCGGGGGUAGAGCACUGUUUCGGCUAGGGGGUCAUCCCGACUUACCAACCCGAUGCAAACUACGAAUACCGAAGAAUGUUAUCACGGGAGACACACGGCGGGUGCUAACGUCCGUCGUGAAGAGGGAAACAACCCAGACCGCCAGCUAAGGUCCCAAAGUCAUGGUUAAGUGGGAAACGAUGUGGGAAGGCACAGACAGCCAGGAUGUUGGCUUAGAAGCAGCCAUCAUUUAAAGAAAGCGUAAUAGCUCACUGGUCGAGUCGGCCUGCGCGGAAGAUGUAACGGGGCUAAACCAUGCACCGAAGCUGCGGCAGCGACACUAUGUGUUGUUGGGUAGGGGAGCGUUCUGUAAGCCUGCGAAGGUGUGCUGUGAGGCAUGCUGGAGGUAUCAGAAGUGCGAAUGCUGACAUAAGUAACGAUAAAGCGGGUGAAAAGCCCGCUCGCCGGAAGACCAAGGGUUCCUGUCCAACGUUAAUCGGGGCAGGGUGAGUCGACCCCUAAGGCGAGGCCGAAAGGCGUAGUCGAUGGGAAACAGGUUAAUAUUCCUGUACUUGGUGUUACUGCGAAGGGGGGACGGAGAAGGCUAUGUUAGCCGGGCGACGGUUGUCCCGGUUUAAGCAUGUAGGCUGGUUGUCCAGGCAAAUCCGGAUAAUCAAGGCUGAGGUGUGAUGACGAGGCACUACGGUGCUGAAGUAACAAAUGCCCUGCUUCCAGGAAAAGCCUCUAAGCAUCAGGUAACAUCAAAUCGUACCCCAAACCGACACAGGUGGUCAGGUAGAGAAUACCAAGGCGCUUGAGAGAACUCGGGUGAAGGAACUAGGCAAAAUGGUGCCGUAACUUCGGGAGAAGGCACGCUGGUGUGUAGGUGAAGUCCCUGCGGAUGGAGCUGAGACCAGUCGAAGAUACCAGCUGGCUGCAACUGUUUAUUAAAAACACAGCACUGUGCAAACACGAAAGUGGACGUAUACGGUGUGACGCCUGCCCGGUGCCGGAAGGUUAAUUGAUGGGGUUAUCCGUAAGGAGAAGCUCUUGAUCGAAGCCCCGGUAAACGGCGGCCGUAACUAUAACGGUCCUAAGGUAGCGAAAUUCCUUGUCGGGUAAGUUCCGACCUGCACGAAUGGCGUAAUGAUGGCCAGGCUGUCUCCACCCGAGACUCAGUGAAAUUGAACUCGCUGUGAAGAUGCAGUGUACCCGCGGCAAGACGGAAAGACCCCGUGAACCUUUACUAUAGCUUGACACUGAACAUUGAGCCUUGAUGUGUAGGAUAGGUGGGAGGCUUUGAAGCGUGGACGCCAGUCUGCGUGGAGCCAACCUUGAAAUACCACCCUUUAAUGUUUGAUGUUCUAACGUUGGCCCCUGACCGGGGUUGCGGACAGUGUCUGGUGGGUAGUUUGACUGGGGCGGUCUCCUCCCAAAGCGUAACGGAGGAGCACGAAGGUUAGCUAAUCCUGGUCGGACAUCAGGAGGUUAGUGCAAUGGCAUAAGCUAGCUUGACUGCGAGCGUGACGGCGCGAGCAGGUGCGAAAGCAGGUCAUAGUGAUCCGGUGGUUCUGAAUGGAAGGGCCAUCGCUCAACGGAUAAAAGGUACUCCGGGGAUAACAGGCUGAUACCGCCCAAGAGUUCAUAUCGACGGCGGUGUUUGGCACCUCGAUGUCGGCUCAUCACAUCCUGGGGCUGAAGUAGGUCCCAAGGGUAUGGCUGUUCGCCAUUUAAAGUGGUACGCGAGCUGGGUUUAGAACGUCGUGAGACAGUUCGGUCCCUAUCUGCCGUGGGCGCUGGAGAAUUGAGGGGGGCUGCUCCUAGUACGAGAGGACCGGAGUGGACGCAUCACUGGUGUUCGGGUUGUCAUGCCAAUGGCACUGCCCGGUAGCUAAAUGCGGAAGAGAUAAGUGCUGAAAGCAUCUAAGCACGAAACUUGCCCC